rnacentral:rRNA from 1 species
GACGUAGGUGGCGAACGUUAUCCGGAAUUAUUGGGCGUAAAGGAUGCGUAGAUGGUGUAGUAAGUUAUCGGUGGCAAAUCGAGGCUCAACCUCGUGGAAGUCGGUAAUACUGCUAUGCUAGAGGAUAGGAGAGGUUAACGGAACUCCCUGUGGAGCGGUGAAAUGCGUAGAUAUAGGGAAGAACACCAAUUAGGCGAAGGCAGUUAACUAUUCUAUUCCUGACAUUGAGGCAUGAAAGCGUGGGGAGCAAAACGG